AAGUUCUGAGUAACAUUUCAGAAAAAAGGUUGAAUGAAAAGGCAAUUCCUUCCCAUGGCAAGUGGUUAUGUUGAUGUGUAUUGCCUUCUCCCUCCAAAGGAGCUUGUCUGAUCUGCAGGUGUUCCCAUCCUCAUGCCCCCCCCCCACCUCUUAAGAAAGUGCUGUCUCCUGGCAACAAUACAAAGAUAACAACCAAGCACCUUCAGUACUACUUUUAUUUUCACUUUCAGAACAAUGGUUUGUUUUUAACUUUUAAGAGAAUAAUCCAUUCAUUUGUGAUUAUAAAGUGCAUUUUUUCACCUUGAACUUUGUGUACAAAAACAUUUAAAAAAGAAAGACACAAACAUGCAAAAACAGCUUAACAAGGCACUUUCAGGCAUAAAAGGACAGCAAUGCCUCACUUCUACAUUCCCAUUGGCGAAAGAAAAGUGUGAAAAGGAAAGCUCCAAGAAGUUACUUCUUUUGUGUUUUAGAAUCAUCACUGGUCAAAGAGUCAGUUCCCAGCACAAUGUUUACACAACGUCGAUGUGUAUGUCACAACUUCCACAGCUUUUUCCCAUCCACUGCGGUACAUCAUUGCUUCCAUUGGUUGGUAUGCAGGGGCCCCUUCAUUGUACCACCAGAAGGAGGAAAUAAAAGCACACUACUACCCAGGGCACUACAGACUCUCACAUCACUGUUGCAUGGUGUCAUGGUUAGGAUCUAAAGGUGUGCUAGAAUUUGUUAGCUAAAAGCACAUGAAGCAAACUGUACACUAGAUUUUUAGAACAUGUUAGCUAAAAACAACCAUACCUUUAAAUCCUAGGCAAGUUAAACCCUUGACUCAUUCACUGCCCAGCUUUGUAAAUCAAAGAAUGAUUUUAAACCAAACCUGGAUAAGUCUUUCCUAAAGACACCUUUACGGAGGACACUAUUUAACUUAUCAAACGGAAAUUCAGGAAACAGACUUUUCAAAUUAGUGAAUGAAGCUUGUGCAACCCAUGUUUACAUACACAUAGCAUCAAUUUAAUGCCUGAAAUUAGUAACUGAGUACAAUACUGCUUUCCACAGCCCAAUAUAUUGAUGUAAAGAUCAAAAAACUAUGCAUUCUUCCCGUAAGCUCAUUGUUCUUACUUAAUCCAUGUCUAAUAGAAGGUCAGAUACAUCAUCUCCUAAAAUUAUAGGUCAGCGCAGAAAUGUUUUGUACUGUGGUCUCCAGAAUUUAAAAAGUGAUGUUUUAAAAAGCAAUUUUGAAUUCUGGAGAAUAGCAUAGCCAUUUGCUUCUUCCUGUGCCCUCCCCACACAAAUACUGGGUGUGUGCUAAAAGUAUAACGUUUGUGUUCUAGAAAAAUAGAAUAUCUGGAAAUAUUAAACCCCAUCUGAAUUAUUCCAUUUAAAUAUAUGAAAUAAGUUAUUCUGCUUAAAUAGCAAGACAUUGGCUUAAUGAUUGCAUUCUCUCUGGCAGUACCUAAAAUGACUGUUCUCUGCAAUUCACCUCACCUCCAAAACAAGCCAUGGUACUCUCCCCUCUACCACAACAGAUCUUCCUUUUCAACAAGAGCAAUGAUGGCAUCUCAUGCCCUCGAGAGAUCCGUUUUCUUGGGCAGAACUACAUUUUGUAUGGAAAUAGCACUGAAGGCCAAUGCGUGCACUUACU
ensembl:lncRNA